rnacentral:rRNA from 1 species
GGGCCCGCACAAGCAGUGGAGUAUGUGGUUUAAUUCGACGCAACGCGAAAAACCUUACCGGGUCUUGACAUCUAACUAACGAAGCAGAGAUGCAUUAGGUGCCCUUCGGGGAAAGUUAAGACAGGUGGUGCAUGGUUGUCGUCAGCUCGUGUCGUGAGAUGUUGGGUUAAGUCCCGCAACGAGCGCAACCCCUAUUGUCAGUUGCUACGAAAGAGCACUCUGGCAAGACUGCCGUUGACAAAACGGAGGAAGGUGGGGAUGACGUCAAAUCAUCAUGCCCUUUAUGACCUGGGCUACACACGUACUACAAUGGCGGUUAACAAAGAGGAGCGACGGAGUGAUCCUGAGCAAAUCUCCAAAAACCGUCUCAGUUCGGAUUGCAGGCUGAAACUCGCCUGCAUGAAGUUGGAAUUGCUAGUAAUCGUAAAUCAGCAUGUUACGGUGAAUACGUUCCCGGGCCUU